rnacentral:rRNA from 1 species
GAUGAACGCUGGCGGCGUGCUUAAUACAUGCAAGUCGAGCGAACAGACGCUGAUCUUGCUCCUCUGACGUUAGCGGCGGAGGGGUGUGUCACACGUGGAUCCUCUACCUAUCUGACUGGGAUAACUUCGGGACUGCGGCGCUAAUCCCGGAUAAUCUAUUGAUCCGUGUGGUUCAAUAGUGAAAGACGGCUUUGCUGUCUCUACUAGAUGGAUCCGCGCCGCAUUAGCUAGUUGGUAAGGUCACGGCUUAUUAAGGCAACGAUGCGUAGCCGACGGGCGAGGGGGAUCGCCCGCACGGGAGCGUAGACGCGGACCAGACGCCUACGGGAGGGACCAGUAGCCAAUCUUCCGCAAUAGGCGAAAGCCUGACGGAACAACCGCACGUGAGAGGUGACGGCCUUCGGAGCGUAAAGCUCUGUUAUUGGUGAUAAACAGAUGUGGAAGUAGCUAUACAGGUCGUGACGGUACCGAGUCAGAAAGCCACGGCUAACUACGUG